AUUGAACGCUGGCGGCAGGCUUAACACAUGCAAGUCGAGCGGGGUGAUGGUGCUUGCACUAUCACUUAGCGGCGGACGGGUGAGUAAUGCUUAGGAAUCUGCCUAUUAGUGGGGGACAACAUCUCGAAAGGGAUGCUAAUACCGCAUACGUCCUACGGGAGAAAGCAGGGGAUCACUUGUGACCUUGCGCUAAUAGAUGAGCCUAAGUCGGAUUAGCUAGUUGGUGGGGUAAAGGCCUACCAAGGCGACGAUCUGUAGCGGGUCUGAGAGGAUGAUGCGCCACACUGGGACUGAGACACGGCCCAGACUCCUACGGGAGGCAGCAGUGGGGAAUAUUGGACAAUGGGGGGAACCCUGAUCCAGCCAUGCCGCGUGUGUGAAGAAGGCCUUAUGGUUGUAAGGCACUUUAAGCGAGGAGGAGGCUCUUUUGGUUAAUACCCAAGAUGAGUGGACGUUACUCGCAGAAUAAGCACCGGCUAACUCUGUGCCAGCCGCCGCAGUAA
rnacentral:rRNA from 1 species